UACGUAGGGUGCAAGCGUUGUCCGGAAUUAUUGGGCGUAAAGAGCCCGUAGGCGGUCUGUCGCGUCGAAUGUGAAAACCCGGGGCUCAACCCCGGGCCUGCAUUCGAUACGGGCAGACUAGAGUUCGGUAGGGGAGUCUGGAAUUCCUGGUGUAGCGGUGAAAUGCGCAGAUAUCAGGAGGAACACCGGUGGCGAAGGCGGGACUCUGGGCCGAUACUGACGCUGAGGAGCGAAAGCAUGGGGAGCGAACAGG
rnacentral:rRNA from 1 species